GCCACAAGAGGUCUGCAGUGAAGGUCCCAGAGUCCCAGACAAGUCCCCUCUUGUUGCCCAGGCUGGAGUGCAGCAGCAUGAUUACAGCUCACAUCAGCCUCGACCUCCCGGGCUCAAGCUAUCCUCCUACCUCAGCCUCCCAAGUAGCUGGGACUAUAGGUUCAAGCGAUUCUCCUGCCUCAGCUUCCCGAGUAGCUGGGACUACAGGCAUGUGCCACCACGCCCAGGAUCUUUCUGCUGAUGCAGCUGUUAAGAGUGUUUCAUAAACUGUGACACUGAGCAAAAUCAUAGAAGGAAACUCUAUGGACAAUUUCAGAUGGAGAAGAAGAAAGGAUUGGAAGUUCAAUUUGGCCAUGACAAUUAGACUUGAAGAAGCUGAGUGAGAAGGCCAUGCGGAUAUCUUGGAGAAGUGCAUUCCAGGAAGAGGAAAAGCCAGUGCAGAGACACUGAAGCAGGGCAUGACUGAUGUGUGUAAGGAGCUCAUAUAUAUGAUCAUCUACAGUCCACUGAGGAGAAUAGCAGACGAGAGGCCAGGUGCAGUGCAUGUAAUCCCAGCACUUUGGGAGACUGAGAUGGGAAGAUCGCUUGAGGCCAGGAGUGCAAGACCAGCCUGGGCAACAUAGCAAGAACUUGACUCUACUAAAAAAAAAAAGGAUCCUUCAACUUCAACAAUAACAACACGAGGGAAGUGAAGAAAAACACUUUCUAAGGAAAUCUCUCUCUGAGCUACCAUCCGGCUAGGGAGAGCCUGAAAGCAGAAUGCUGACUUGACUAGCUCUGGCCAAUAAAGGAAAUCACCAGUGGAAAGGCUACCAGGGGGCUUCCUCAAAAGAGAG
rnacentral:antisense_RNA from 1 species